rnacentral:lncRNA from 1 species
GGUCAAAUGAUAAUUGCUUCUAAUUGGCUUGCCCAGAAGCACCUUAUUUAUUUAUUUGCAGCUGUCACUCAAAGAGUGAAAUCCUUCCCGCAUAUAGAAAACUGGAUUUAUUUCACGGGCUUAUUUUAAGACGUAGAAAUCAAAGCCGGAAAAAUAGCUAAAGCAAAAACGAUGCUUAUGAGACAGUUUACCAACUCUCUCAUUGUUAAAGUAUUAAAAAAAAAAAUGAAACCGUAGGCUGUCACUAGAAGGGGUGAGGAAGGAGUCAGUUGAUUUCGAAUUAAGACCCAGAAGUGAGCCGAAGGGGUGGUAAUAGAACUUCUCAAAACUAGAGAGGACCUGGAGAGUUUAAGACACUAAAGAAGCAUAGUACCUGUGAAUUUCAAAGUGACAGAAAGUCCUAGGAGAGUAUACAUUAAUGGACCAACUACACCACCAAAUAAUCACUUGAUUGAACCUUGCAGUCUAAAAAUACCUUUUAGUAAACUCAAGGUGAAUUGCAGCUUCUCGAGAUAUCAGCUUGGUUUUAAGGCUGGUGGCACAGUUUCAUUUUCAAAGUUAAAGCAUGAAAAGUGCAAAAACUAAAUUUCAACUUUCCACCCAAUGAUAUGGUUAGGAUAUUCUUUUAGAGGAUCAAUAUGCAAAACUUACAAUCUGUUCUUUUUAGGCUAUCCAAUAAGGUUUGGGGAUAGUAGGAGAAUUAGGUUUUUGUUUUAAAAGUCGCAUAUAGAGACACAUUCGACAUGUGCUGCUCUUGAACGUUCAGUAUGUCUGGCAGAAGAGAAUGGGAGUACACAUCCAGAUGGGUUGGUGACUUUUGAGAAAUACAUGAGAGAAAUAGGACACACUAAUCCCCCGACCUGUCACCCUAACUGGCUAUCAUUUCAUUAGAGAACUCAAAAGUUCAGGUUCAUUUUUGCCACUUGAAUGGGCAGCAUAGCAUUUCGAAAAUCAUGUUUACUUAUUCAGUGUGCGUGUCCGGCUAGGUGCAUGUCACUGUCACCGUCACUUCUGUUUGUGGAGGUGCAAGUGGUUCUUCCCCAUGCAUCCUGUGGGCCCAAAGGACUGGAGCUCAUGCCAGAUCAUCACACUUUGUGGCCAACUGCCUUUACUUGCUAAGCUGUCUCAAGGCCUCAACAGCAUUGUUAAGGCAUAAUUAUUAUCUGGAAACUAAAAUAAAGCCUCCAAAUAGCAUAGAUAUGAAAAAAGUCAACAGACAGAAAAAAGUAAUAUAAUGCGCAGUCAGUCAGAAUAUUAUUGGGUGCCAUGAACUGGGGCAGGGAAGGGGCCUAUGACCUUGAUACAGCACCUGACUUGUCUUCCUCCUUCACAGGCACGCUACAAGCUCAGUGAUGAGGUCCAAUUCACCGACAACUACCUCUCAGAUUAUGGCAAGAAAGAAAAGGAGAGGGGUAGGUGACACCCCCCCCCUUGUGUCAUGUAAUUAAGCAUGUGUAUCACUGUUGUUAUUUUCUUACUUGGAUAAUUUUUCUGUAUGUGUACUGUACCCUUAGAUUUUUGUUUUGCUUUCCUUGGGCUAGAUCAUAGAAAAAAGGCGUCGGGAUCGAAUAAAUAACAGUUUAUCUGAAUUGAGAAGACUAGUGCCAACAGCUUUUGAAAAACAAGUAAGUUAUCCCCCCCCCAAAAAAAAAAACCAGCUCAAAGCAUCUGACUUUCUCAUCUGGGACUGUAGAUUCUUCUUGAAGAUCAUUAAAAUAAUGGUGUGUGCUCUGCACACUCUGAUCCGGCGUAGAAGAGCUAUUUCAAUAAAAUGCUUUGUUGUGGCAGAACUAUUAAAAACAUAAUCCAUCAUGAAGUCGAAGACAUUUCCAUUCUUUAGCUUAUUUUCCCCUUAAGGGUAAUUGUGUUCCUGCUUUCUCUGUUCUUUCCAUGAAGCCAGCAGGGGUUUUGCUUAAAACUGUGCUGUAUAUGGUAUUCUUGAAAACAAAAGUUUUGUGUGUGAAAUAUCAUUUUUCCCUCAAACUUUCAAAGUACUAUUUAAAAAAAAAAAUCAAAGUUAAGGAACUAAGGCUUCUAUUUUGGUUUCCUAAAUUAUAAUAAUACAGCUUAUUUAGAAAGCUACUUUUGUUUUUAAUUCUUGGGUUAAUAGAACAUUAUAUUUGAUUUAGGAUAUAAUUUGGAAGUUUGGUAAAAAAAAUCAAAUUAGUCAUAAAUAUUGCUUUUCAAAGUUCAGGUAUUCUUUUAC